rnacentral:rRNA from 1 species
CCUACGGGUGACAGCAGUCGAGAAUCAUUCACAAUGGGGGAAACCCUGAUGGUGCGACGCCGCGUGGGGGAAUGAAGGUCUUCGGAUUGUAAACCCCUGUCAUGUGGGAGCAAAUUAAAAAGAUAGUACCACAAGAGGAAGAGACGACUAACUCUGUGCCAGCAGCCGCGGUAAUACAGAGGUCUCAAGCGUUGUUCGGAAUCACUGGGCGUAAAGCGUGCGUAGGCUGUUUCGUAAGUCGUGUGUGAAAGGCGCGGGCUCAACCCGCGGACGGCACAUGAUACUGCGAGACUAGAGUAAGGGAGGGGGAACCGGAAUUCUCGGUGUAGCAGUGAAAUGCGUAGAUAUCGAGAGGAACACUCGUGGCGAAGGCGGGUUCCUGGACAUUAACUGACGCUGAGGCACGAAGGCCAGGGGAGCGAAAGGGAUUAGAUACCCGGGUAGUC